UUAACAGAUAUUCGAUUUCUCAAAUACUAAACAGUAUCAGACAGCAUGACAUUUCAUCAACUAGUUUUUAAGGUGUGCCUCUGGCCGACUUACCCCUCCGCGGUUAAACGGAAGAAGCAACCGAAGCAUAAAUAAAGUGUUUCAACAAGUAAUUUUACACGUCACGUGCCCAUGGGGCAUCGGUGCAUUAACCCGUGGCAUGAAGCCACUCGGUACUUUUUAAUGAUCCUUCCGCAGGUUCACCUACGGAAA
rnacentral:misc_RNA from 1 species